rnacentral:lncRNA from 1 species
AUGAUGGUUUCCUCCUUGUUUCUCCCCCAUCCCAGCCCCUUGCUUUCUCCUCUUCCCUUUCCUGCCCAUCUUCUCUUGGCAGAGUCACCCUUAGGCUGGUCGCUGCUGGCAGCUGGCUGCCAUGGGAGCCCCUGGGGUGAGAGCUACAGACUGACCUUGUCAAGCUCCUUCCCUCGUCGGGCCUCAGUUUUCUUCUCUGUAAAAUGGGCAGAGCUCCCGCAGCACCUAUAUUGUGUGAGAGUGGGCACAAAUGACUGGGUGCCUCACAGAGCUCAUUGGUGGGAUGGGUGCCGAGGGGCUCAGCAGCCAACCUGGUGUCCUCAUGCCCAGGAAGCAGCCCUGCCCCCCGAGGUCUCCAGGCUGUCCCAUGGCUGGAUGAAGCCCGACCUCAGGGUCUCUUUCAGACGAGAGGACGAGCGAGAAGAAUCUGGGUUCUGCAGAUCCUUGCACUUUGCUUUGCUACGGAACAGCAGGUAAGCUGUGCCGAGGCUGGGCAGGGGACAAGGCCAUAGGGAGGCCAGCGUGGCUCUCUCUGCACAUUUUCACUGCCAAUGCCUGAUGUGAGUCCAAGUGCGACAGAUGCUGGGCAGAGGGGCAGUCCGCCAGGGCCGACGAGCUCUGUGCCCUUUGCUGUAAACUUCUCAGGAAUCUGUGUGCAGAACAGGCCAUGAAUAGUAAGCAUCGGAUUUGCUGGAUUUCACAAAGCGAAUGCACCUGUGUAAGUACCCGGCAGCUGAUCAAAAACCAGCACAUGUCCAGCUUCCCAGAGACCUUGGGACUCCUUUCUGUCUGGCUUCUUUCUCUCGCUUUCAAGCAGUGCAACAGGACCGCGCCCCCAACUUUACUUGGGCCAAUGCUCCUGGGCUUGUGAUGGGGUGUGUCCUGGUAUAGCCAUUGUGAAUAGAAGGUCUUGUCAUUUAAAAUGCAUUUCAUCCCCCUAACCCACUGCACAUCCUUGCUCAGCGACGCAGCAGUCCCUCCUUUCCCUCGUGGACAAGGAAGGGGGGACUGCCCAGGAGCUGUGCUCAUAGCCCAGCGUCCGGGAGAGGGGCGGGGCACAUCUGUCACUCACCAAGGAAUGCACGGAAAUUCAAAAUACAAAGUACGCAGUUUCUACUAAAUGCAUAUCGCGUUCACGCCAUUGUGAAGUCAAAAAAUAAUGCGUUGAACCAUGGGAAGUCUGGGACUGUCUGUACUUUUUUUUUUUUUUUGUCACUGUUGCCUGGCAUUCCUUUGUAUGUCUCUGCCUUUUAUACCUCAGCCUGGCAGAAGCUCUGAAGGGUGCACCUGAUCACCUGUCAGGCUCUUCCUUGUCGCCUUGCGGUUACACACUUCUGCACUGUGCUUCCUCCUGCUUCCCGGGGCCUGAGCAUGACUGUCACAGGGAG